rnacentral:rRNA from 1 species
UACGUAGGGUGCAAGCGUUGUCCGGAAUUAUUGGGCGUAAAGAGCUUGUAGGCGGUUUGUCGCGUCUGCUGUGAAAUUUCGGGGCUCAACCCCGAACUUGCAGUGGGUACGGGCAGACUAGAGUGUGGUAGGGGAGACUGGAAUUCCUGGUGUAGCGGUGAAAUGCGCAGAUAUCAGGAAGAACACCAAUGGCGAAGGCAGCUCUCUGGGACGGUACUGACGCUGAGACGCGAAAACGUGGGGAGCGAACAGG